UUUGUUCAGAGACUACCAACGAUUCCUCGAUAGAGGUCGAGGUCGCCUUUGACGAUUGCAGCGUGCUCAGUAAAUCCAGGUCGUCCAGUAGAGUAUCUCCGGCCACGUUCAGUAGACUGUAUGAAAUCACGAGGAAGGGAUCAAAAGAAGCAAAGGAUAUCUUACUGGAGUAUUUUGUCCUCGAGUUCUUUGAGAGUUCGUUUAUUGGACGAGAUCGUGAAGACCAGAUUGUCCUUCUGUUCUUCGAGCUGCGGCUUCUCUUUUCUGACCACGAUUCCCAAGAGCUGGUCUUCCAGUCCUGCGCACAGGAUAAUAAGGUUCUAGACUUUGUCUCCUCUGGCUACCUCUUCCUCUACCGCCCUCUCGAUCUAGUUCGCCUCCCGUUCAUCCUUCUCUCUGUGUCCAUCCCUUUCGCUCUCUAUUAUCUACCCUCUUCUAACUGACGCACGAUAAGACAAUUAGUUACCCUGUUCCUUAAUGGCGAAGUUGCAUAACGUCGUUUUAGUGGAUAUCUCCGGGGCGUAAUGGGGGUUCGCGAGUUUCGUCGUGAUGAAGAGCCGGAACUUGUCGUGGUAGCUGAUCAUCUUUUCGUUGAACUUGAUCAUCAUCUGGUUCUCUGCACAAUCGGAGAA